rnacentral:rRNA from 7 species
ACACGACUCUCGGCAACGGAUAUCUCGGCUCUCGCAUCGAUGAAGAACGUAGCGAAAUGCGAUACCUGGUGUGAAUUGCAGAAUCCCGCGAACCAUCGAGUCUUUGAACGCAAGUUGCGCCCGAGGCCUCUUGGCCGAGGGCACGCCUGCCUGGGCGUCACGC